rnacentral:lncRNA from 1 species
GAGAGCAGCAGGGAUGCUCCAACUCUUGUCCCAUUGGAUGACCGUUGGCUGCAGGCGAAACGUCCAGUCAAGAUUAUGUUAGAAUAUUCAAAGUAUUGAGUAAACAAACGGGCAAUGCUCUAUUAACAUAGACUAAGAUUGUAUAAUUCUAGUUAGCCCGGUAGAGAUGCCACGCCGGUCAAAAUGAUAGUACUACUGAGUAACAUCUCAUAAUUUGUGCCUUAGUUGACCUUCCUGUGAUUGAGUAACAA